rnacentral:lncRNA from 1 species
AUGCAAGACAUUCUGAGGAACACCAGAGCAGGACUCCAACGGAUUUAUUGUGGUUUUAUCCACAUUAGGAUGGAAGCUGCCACUGAGGAGAGAGAGGCUCAUCCUAGCCUCGUUGUUCACGACCAGAAUGUACAACGAACCAUGAUGCCUUAUGAUUCUCCAGAGCUGUCCCCAAAGACUGAGUAAACAUCUAUUUUUUUGAAGCUGUGGCCAUCUCAAUAACAUAUCACAUUACAUUUGCUUUCCCUUUAGUCCUUCCUCACUUCUCAUUUGCCUUCAUUCCUGCUGAUCCUGAAUUGCAUUCUACAAUAAAGCACUAGUGCAUAAAUUUCACUUCAUGUUCUGUUUCCUAUUGCUGAAAAGGGAUGCCAAUGAGUUUAAUUAAUUUGAUCAUUAAUUUGAUCUAAUGCUAUAAUAAGCAGAAAUUAUCAACUAAUAAUUUCUAAAGUCGUUAACCGAUUUAGAAAACUAUGGAGCAAGUUUAUCCCUAUUCUUUUAUAGAAAUAUAAAGAAAAAGAAGCAUGAACAAAAUAUUUUACAUGGGGAAUUUACAGAUGUUACACUGACUAUCUUUUAAAAGGAACACAAAAACUGGCACAUCUUGAUUUAGAAAAAUAGUCAUUGUUAAUUAAUCCCAUAUGUUUAUAUAAAAUGGAAAAAAAGUAUUGUGUCCCAAAACUAUUAGGCCCCAUAAGAGAUUUUCCUGAAUGUCUCCUUUAGGCUCCUACACAUAAGUUCUAGGUAUACCAAAGUUCUCCAGACCUAACAAUGUAAUGUUCUCAGACUUCCAUAUAUUGGCACAGGCUAUUUGCUGUACCUGAAUGUCCUCCCUUCCCCUGCUCUCCCCAAAACACUUUCUGCCUCGAAUACUCAUGAUUCAGAUAAAAGAUUUUCUUUUUCAGAGCUUCCUCAACCAUCACUCCUCCCCAUCACAGACUUAAGUGUUCCUGCCUCCACUUUCACAAACUCCUGUUUAUACUUCUAUUCUAGUACCUACCUCAUAGACAUUGCCUGUCUACACGUCUUUUCUAACUGUAUGGGGCCUCUCUGAAUACUCAGAUGGUGUUGCUAUUUAUCUUUCUAUCCCCCUGAAGUCUUAUGUCUCCUGAGACAUGAUAUGAAUUUAAUUAAAAGAAACAAAUGGAAAGAAACAAAGAAGAAACAGGAGAAAAUGAGUAUGUGCCUGAUAAAGUUUCCUUCCAUUCUUCCUUUAUCUCCAAAAUUUGGGGCUUGAGGCAGAGAAUCUAAAGCUAAAUAAUGCUACAUAUUUUUGAAAGUUUUAGAAAAUAUCCCAGACUUCAAUGCCCUCCAUGAUAAAAUAUCCUAAGUCAAUCCUCUAGAGAUUUUUUUUCCUAUUUGAGAUACGAUUUCAACAGUAGAGUAUGAAUUAGUUUAAAAAAUAUAUAUUUUCUUUCCAUAUUUGUAUCCUGAAGUUUGAGAGCAGUAUGGGGCAUUAUAAAUUAUAAUGGAUCAUCUUAUAACUGAUAAUAAGACUUAUGCCAAAGAAGGGAGGAAAACUUGUAAAUAUAGGAAUUCAGCUACAAAUUUGAUUGUGCACUAACAGAC